GACGAACGCUGGCGGCGUGCUUAACACAUGCAAGUCGAACGGAAAGGCCCUGCUUUUGUGGGGUGCUCGAGUGGCGAACGGGUAAGUAACACGUGUGUAACCUGACCUUCACUUUCGGAUAACUUCAGGAAACUGAGGCUAAUACCAGAUAGCAGCUCCUGCUGCAUGGAGGGGGUUGGAACGUCUCGGCGGGUGGGGAUGGACUGGCGGAUGAUGGGCUAGUUGGUGGGGGAGUGGCUUGCCAAGGCUUUGACGGGUAGCCGGCCUGAGAGGGUGAACGGCCACAUUGGUACUGAGAUACGGCCCAGACUCCUACGUGAGGCAGCAGUGGGGAAUAUUGCACAAUGGGCGGAAGCCUGAUGCAGCAACGCCGCGUGCGGGAUGACGGCCUUUGGGUUGUAAACCGCUUUCGCCUGUGACGAAGCGUGAGUGACGGUAAUGGGUAAAGAAGCACCGGCUAACUACGUG
rnacentral:rRNA from 1 species